GGCUACACAUGCAGUCGACGGUAACAGGAAGCAGCUUGCUGCUUCGCUGACGAGUGGCGGACGGGUGAGUAAUGUCUGGGAAACUGCCUGAUGGAGGGGGAUAACUACUGGAAACGGUAGCUAAUACCGCAUAACGUCGCAAGACCAAAGAGGGGGACCUUCGGGCCUCUUGCCAUCGGAUGUGCCCAGAUGGGAUUAGCUAGUAGGUGGGGUAACGGCUCACCUAGGCGACGAUCCCUAGCUGGUCUGAGAGGAUGACCAGCCACACUGGAACUGAGACACGGUCCAGACUCCUACGGGAGGCAGCAGUGGGGAAUAUUGCACAAUGGGCGCAAGCCUGAUGCAGCCAUGCCGCGUGUAUGAAGAAGGCCUUCGGGUUGUAAAGUACUUUCAGCGGGGAGGAAGGCGAUAAGGUUAAUAACCUUGUCGAUUGACGUUACCCGCAGAAGAAGCACCGGCUAACUCCGUGCCAGCAGCCGCGGUAAUACGGAGGGUGCAAGCGUUAAUCGGAAUUACUGGGCGUAAAGCGCACGCAGGCGGUCUGUCAAGUCGGAUGUGAAAUCCCCGGGCUCAACCUGGGAACUGCAUUCGAAACUGGCAGGCUAGAGUCUUGUAGAGGGGGGUAGAAUUCCAGGUGUAGCGGUGAAAUGCGUAGAGAUCUGGAGGAAUACCGGUGGCGAAGGCGGCCCCCUGGACAAAAGACUGACGCUCAGGUGCGAAAGCGUGGGGAGCAAACAGGAUUAGAUACC
rnacentral:rRNA from 1 species